rnacentral:lncRNA from 1 species
UUAAACCCGCAUAAAUUGGUGUAUGCCGUAUCGCAUUAGAUAAUUAAAACCCAUAAAAUCUCUCUUUUUUAUUCCAUCAAAACACGAUCCAUCAAGCAAAUCCAACAUUCGUUUAUUCAUCACCGAGUCACCACCGAUGCCAUUACCCCCAUUGCUCGAUGCCAUCACCGUCGCCAACAAGUGCUUCGUCGUGCCGCGUGAGACUUCCCAUCUGUUUCACCACUGACGCGCCUGCACUUUGCCGCCGAAUCAUCAAUCAACCGGUUAGUAUUUGGGUUUGAUUUUUCGAAUUGAACCACAAUCAGUUUAUUUUUCAUUACUUUUAUGUUGAAGCAUGUCUUUUUCUUUCUGGGUUUGAAUUUUUUUUUUUUUUUGGCUGCUGUUGUUGUGGGUAGCUAUUAAUUUCGUCAGUACUUUUUAGUUGGCUUCAUGAGUUGUUUUUUUAUUUUUACUUACAAUUAAAUCUUGUUUAAAUCUGAGCAAAUAGACUAAUUUUGCUUUUGAGAAAAUUAAUUAAAUAGUUAAACAAGUAAUUAAAAAAUUAAUUAGUUGAUGCGAUUAUACGGAGAAGAGUGAAGGGAGUAGAGAUGGAGAACAGGGAAUUGGAGGGGAUUUGUAUGUAUAGUUGGAUGGUAGGAUUUGGAACGGUGUCGUCUACCUGUACAAAUCUAAGAUAUUCCAUGAUGUUUAGGAAUCAAAAUUUAAUCUAAACUUGCAUAUGAGUGUGGAAAUUUUACUGCAAAGUACUGAUUAACGUUCUCAUGUUUUGAAUUGAUAGAUCACUUAGACUUUUAGUUUUCUAGCAUUUUGGACUAUGGUAUUCUCAUAUGCUUGUCUCGUUGACAUUAUUCCCAGGUUUUUUUGGUUUUGGACUUGCAUAGAGGCUUAUUAUAUGCUUUUUGGUUUUGAAUUUGCACAAAGGCUUUCUCAUAGCUUAUUGGUUUUGGAUUUGCACAAAAGCUUUUCUCAUAGCUUUUUUUUUUUUUUUUGAUAAGAGAGUGAAUCUUUCAUUCAAAAUAGGAAAGUACAUCAGGAGGAAAGUUGUCCUUCCAUGUGACAGAUUCGGAGCUUCUCAAAGCUCUUUCAGCAAGAGAUUGAGCACAACUGUUACAACAUCUUGAUACAUGUUGAAUUGUUAUCGGUUGGAACUUUUCCAUGUAGCUUUGAAUGUCUGAAAUAGCCCACAAAAUCUCCUUCCUGCUACUGGUUAUAUUGUUGGCUAAGUUGACCACUUCCAUACAAUCUGUUUCAAUAAUCACUGCCGAUAAUCCUGCUUCUAUUGCCAUUUCCAUCCCCCGUUUUACAGCCUCAGCUUCUGCUGCUGAAACAUUCCCUUGGGGCUUUGUGUUUUUUACUGCUACUGUCGCUACAACUUGGCCUUGUGAAUUUCUAAUAACAACCCUGAUUCCUGUAAGCUGUGCCCCUGCCUGAACAGCUGCAUCCACAUUGACCUUGUAAUACCCGAUAGGUGGAGGACACCAUUGUUUUUGCUUGCUAACACCAUCUCUUCUGUUUAUCUGCUCCGUUUCAUGCACUCUUUGAUAAGCCUCUAUAGUAGCUUUUGCCUUUGCAAUUAAUGUUACCGGCUUAAUUUUCUGCCUUCGAAUAUAAACUUGUUCCUAGCAUGCCAUAUUUCCUUCCAGACCGUUACCACAAACUCCACCUCUCUCUUGGGCAUCUAUCUCAACAGGCUCAGUAUAAGGCUUAGAAUAUCUUCUCUCACCAUUCCCUGCAAUUCAGAAUCUCCAUAAUUGUAUUUCCAGACCUUCCUAGCCACCUUACACUCCAUAAGUGCAUGAAAGACAUCCUCUACUCCUGUUUUACGGAUUUGGCAUGUUGGCUCCUGUUGAACUUGUUGGUACUUCAGCAUACUUGAGCUUGAGAGCUAAUUGGUAACCACUUCGUACUGUGUAUAUUCCUUUUUUGUCAUAGUGCCAUAACCAUUCAUCAUUCUUAGGCCAUCUUGGUAGGGGAAUUCUCUUAAUCAUCUCUGAAUCCUCUUUUGCUAAGUGCUUCUCAAUCAAACUAUUCUUCCAUUGGUGAUCUGCGCCUAUUAAGUCUACAACUUUGGUAUUUGCUGGUACAGAUGGAGCAAAAAUUGGCCUAAAAGUAGUCGGCCUUGGUAUCCGGUUGCUGGCCAUAACACAAAUUUUAUCUCCUCUUCCAACUCUCCAUCUUAUCCCCUGCUGCAGAAUUUCUCUACCUCACAAAAUGCUUCUCCAAAUAAAGGAUGGAUUAGAACCAACUUUGGCUUCCAUAAAAUCAGUUUGUCUGUAAUAUCUAGCUUUCAGCACUUUGGCCACUAGUGAAUCAGGGUAUUGUAAUAAUCUCCAGCCUUGCUUUGCAACGAAUGCCUGGUUGAAGCUUGAGAGAUCUUUAAAACCUAUCCCCUCUCUGAUUUUAGCCUUACUAAUCUUCUCCCAUUUUGCCCAGUGAAUACCUUUCUUGUCAUUUGUUGAGCCCCACCAGAAUCUCGCAAUUGCUCUCUGAAUGUCAUUGCAAAUAGCCAAAGGUAUUUUGAAGACACUCAUGGCAUAUGCAGGGACUGCCUGAGCUACAGCCUUGAUCAAAACCUCUUUUCCACCACUGGAGAAGAAUUUAUGCUGCCAAUUCGAUAAUUUGCUCAACAGUUUGAGCUUAAUAUCAUUGAAAAAGCUGGUCCUCUUUCUUCCCACCAUUGAAGGCAGUCCCAAGUACUUCUCAUGUCUUGAGACCACAUUCAGCUGAAAAAUGUCCUUUAUUGCUGCUAUUUGUCCCUGUGGGAUUUUACCGCUGAAAAACAUUAAUGACUUGUCAUAAUUGAAGAGCUGGCUAGAGGCCGAAGUAUAGUACUCGAAAAUUGCUUUCUCAUAGCUUUUUGGUUUUGGAUUUGCACAAAGGCUUUUCUCAUAGCUCUUUGGCUUUGGACUUGUACAGAGGCUUAUAUGCUUUUCUCAUUGACAUUUAGAUCCAAUUUCUAAUUCUUUUUGGAUUUACAGUGUUCUGAAAAUCAUACCUUUUCCCACAAUAUUGAUGCUGCAAAUCAAUCUGAAAGUGCAUGCUUAAGUAAUUAACAAUAGCUUUUUUUUUUAAUAUCAUGAAAUUAUUUUAAUAUCAAUACUCAGUGUGAAAAUGCAUGCUUGAGUAAUUGAAAAAAAUAUGUUUUUCUUUUUAUUUGUUGUUUUAG